GGAAGUAUAUAACAGCUAUUUACCGGGCAAACCACUCCAAAAUGCAGUGUCUUAAAAAAAAAGAGUAACUUUAUAAUGGAGAAACCUGGAAAACACUGUUCUAACCAAGUGUCGAAGUUAACAUCACCAAAUGAUGUCAAGUGGAUCUCACGUCCCCCCUGAUAUGAUGUGAUAAGAAGGACACUUCACUUCACAUCUGUGGUAUUUCUUUCCCAAACGUGAAAACUCCAGUCUAAUCAUGAAAAAAAAAUCAGGCAAACCCAAGUUGAAGGACAUGCUAUAAAAUAUCUAGCCAGUGAUCCUAAAGCUGUCAAAGUCAUGAAAACAAGGAAGACUGAGAAACUCUCACAGAUCCGAGGAGACAAAGGAAAGACAAUAGCUAAAUGCAUUGUGGCAUCUUGGAUUGGAUCCUGGAAUAAAACAAGGGCAUUAUUCCAAAUCAUACCUUCAGAUUCUGACCCUCAUGUGGCCACGUGGGGCUCUACUGACCCUCCCUGAUCCAUGUCUUCUGCUUACUUCAACUGCUCGAUUUCAUCGACAUCUUUCAGGAAGCCAAGGACUUAAAUGAGAAUGGUAUCCAUCAGGUUGGGUUGCGGCAAGGACUCAGUGAUUAGGACAUGUUAAAUGCUCAGAGGAAAAUCGAAGGACAGAAAUCUCUCCAUCCUGUUGCAUGUCCCUGGGAUCGCAUUUGCACCUCAUCUGGAGACAAGGGCCAAACAUCUCAAGGCCCUUUGUGAAUGACAAGAGUGGACCAAACAGCCCUCCUCCUUCUCCCUUCCACUCGCCCCCCCACCCGGCUUCCAUGUUGGGAUUUCACACAGAAAUGAAC